AAUUAUUUAAAAAUCAUGAUAAUGCAACAUGGCUUAGCUUAAAUUGUUUGAGAUUGCCUGGACUAUCAAGAUCUCAUUAAGGUCAAUGCAGGGAGUUAUAGUCGUCUAAAAACUUGAUGAUGAUGUUGCCAUUCCCGUUUCUCUCAUUUCCUGCACAAUAGCUUCUGCUUUCUGAAUAUCAUUUUCUUGCACAUAUGGUGAGAAAACCACCAUAGACACGGUAAUUUUUCAACUUAUCUGAAAGUUCCUUGAAAUACGUUUGUGCGUGUGCAGAUCCAUAAAUUCUGUUGAUUAAGUUCAGCCUAACUGCAGCAUCAGAGAGAGAUAAUGUGAAAUGCCUCCGAUCAGUAAUCCAAUGUGAUUAUCUGAAAAACAGGAGGAAAAGA
rnacentral:misc_RNA from 1 species